CACUACUGCAGUUCCACUGGGCUACAGGCCCCUACGGGCCCCUGUAGUGAUGGUUACUGGUGCCCGGCUGGUCAGGAGGCGGACCGCUUGCUGCAGUGUCCGGUCCAUCAUUACUGUCCCCUGGGCAGCCCUGCCCCACUUCUCUGCCCCUCAGGCUUUUUCCAGGACAGGGAGAAGCAGGCCAACUGCUCACUCUGUGAAGCAGGUCAUUACUGUGACCCCAGACUGGCUUCCAGAGGCCUCUCCAUCCUGCAGCGCUGUCCAAGAGGACACUACUGUCCCCCAGGGACACACCUGUCCACCCAGUUCCCCUGCCCAGCGGGCACCUACAACCCCACAGAGGGCAUGGACAGCUCAGAGGCCUGCCUUCCCUGCCCUUCCGGACAGUACUGCCCCUCCAUGGGCCUCUCUGAACCUGAUGGUGGCUGCCAGGCUGGGUUCUGGUGCAGAAGAGGUUCUAGGUCCAGCACCCCAUUAAACGGAACCUCGGGUUCCACAUGCCCCGCUGGACACUACUGCCCUGCAGGUGUGUCCUUACCUGUGCCCUGUCCACCUGGCACCUGGGCGGGCAGGACCGGCCUGGGGGACGCGGGGGAGUGCCAGCCCUGUCCGGGGGGAUCGUACUGUGCCACCCCUGGACUCACAACACCCACAGGCCUCUGCACAGGAGGGUUUUACUGUGUGGAGGGGGCAGUGACACCCAACCCCUAUGAUGGCACCACGGGUGCCCCCUGCCCAGAGGCUCAUUACUGUCCUGUAGGAACCUCUCAGCCUGUGCCGUGUGAGCCAGGGACCUAUAUGAGUGCGACACAGGCCCCAGAGUGCUCUGUGUGCCCUGCAGGCUGGUACUGCACUUCUGGCGUUCGGCUGCUCUGUCCAGCAGGGUUCUACUGCCCUGAGGGCACAGGGGACACAUGGCGCUCCUGCCCCGUGGGCACGUACGGCCCUGCUGGUGGCCUGGGCAGGGUGUCGGAGUGUCGCGAGUGUGAUGGAGGACACUACUGCAGCAUGCCCAACACCACCUCUGUCACAGGGCCGUGCUCUGAGGGGUACUUCUGCCUGCCCGGCAGCACCACCCCACGGCCCCUAACCACAGAGGAAGGAGGUCCGUGUCCAGUGGGCCAUUUCUGCCCAGAAGGGACAUCGCAUCCACAUGCAUGUCCUGAAGGCACCUACAGCAACAUCUCUAAAUUAAUCUCCCAGGUGAGCUGCAGGCCGUGUGCUCCUGGACACUACUGCAGUGCUGCUGGUAUGAGCACGCCCACUGGGGAAUGCUGGGAAGGCUACUACUGCCAGCAGGGGGCAGUAUAUCCAAACCCACACAUCAGGGACGAGCGGGGAGGGCCCUGUCCGUCAGGAUAUUUCUGCCCCAAAGCCUCCGUUGGGCCUCUGAUCUGCCUGGCUGGCUACCUCAGCACAGAGGAGGGACGAGCCAACUGCAGCCUCUGCCCUCAGGGUUACUACUGCCCUGGCAGCAGCUCCACUAAUCAAAGCAGAGCGUGUCCUGUUGGGCACUACUGCCCCGCGGGCACCAGCAGUCAGUACCAGCACCCGUGCCCAGAUGGCACUCUGAACCAGCAGGAGAGAAUGGGCUCGCCCCACGACUGUACACCAUGCCCUCCAGGUUCCUUCUGUGCCUCGUCAGGCCUGAGUGAGGUCUCGGGGCCGUGCUCUGCUGGUCACUUCUGCUCUUUGGGGGCCGUGUCCCCCCGGCCAGAGGACGGAGUGACGGGGGACAGGUGUCCUCGGGGACACUACUGUCCCCCGGGGGCCUCCGUGCCACUGCCCUGUCCGGCUGGUCGCCACAGCAACACCACCGGCAACGCCUACCUCUCUGACUGCAAGCCCUGCCCAGCAGGUUUCUCCUGCUCCAGUAGGGGGCUCUAUCUCCCCUCCGAAGUCUGCCCUGCUGGAUUCUUCUGCCCUGACGGGGAGGGCUCCAACCACCCCACUCCACAAACCUGCCCCCCGGGGUUCAUCUGCCCCCAAGGAAGUCCUGCCCCCACCCCCUGUCCAGCGGGGACCUAUCAGGAGCAGUCUGGCCAGACGCGGUGUGCCCCCUGUCCUGCUGGCUUCUUCUGCGCCGCCUCACUGCACCCUGGCACAGGUGGCACAGAGGUAGUAGAAGGCUCCCACACACCCACCCCCUGCCCCGAGGGGCAUUACUGCCCAGUAGGCACCCAGUCUGGCCUGGACUUCCCCUGUCCUGUGGGCUCCUUCAGUGACCAGCGGGGCAUACGCAGCUCCAGCCAGUGCGCCCCCUGUCCAGCAGGCCGGUACUGCAGCUCUGCCGGACUGGCUGGCCCAUCAGGACACUGCUCUCCUGGGUAUGUGUGUCUCCAGGGCUCUGUGCAGCCUCAGCCCACGGGCGAGCUGACCGGCAGCCGAUGCCCCGCAGGCUUCUACUGCCCCGCGGGCACCACCCACGCCCUGCCCUGCCCGCCCGGCACCUGCAGCUCAUUAGAAGGAGCGGUGUCAGUAGACGCCUGUCAGCUGUGUCCUGCGGGUCUCUUCUGCUCUGACUUCGGUCUGACGGCCCCAUCAGGGCCCUGCAGCGCUGGGUACUUCUGCUCACGAGGAGCCACCACUCCCACGCCUCACGACACAGAGACUGACAGUGAGAUGUGUGGGGGGGCCGUGGAGGUGGACACACGCUCGUCUGUCCCGCCCAGAGCAGGAGUGUGUCCCAGAGCAGGAGUGUGUCCCAGGGGACACUUCUGCCCCAGGGGUACAGCUGAGCCCCAGCCCUGUCCGCCAGGUAACCCUAGAGCUGUCCUCUCUUCCAGGUAACUCCGGUAUCUCUCACCUAGCUUUGCUCCUUGAGUAGUGUGGGAGCCAGCCUGUCUGUCACAGGAAGCAGAAGAUCUGUCUGUCUGUCUGUCUGUCUGUCUGUCUGUCUGAUCUGAUCUGUGUCUGUCUGUCUGUCUGUCUUUCUGUCUGUC
ensembl:lncRNA